rnacentral:lncRNA from 1 species
GCCUAUUGUGUGGGUAAUUACAAGGAGGCCCGGCUGACCUGGCAAUGAGGUGGUGCAGCUAGAUACCUGAAGGCAGGGGAGCGCCCGCGAGCAGCGCGGAGGCCCCAUCUGUCAGGCUGUAAUGAUUGUGCUAUUUGGAGGCAGAAAGGUUUGUCUGGAGCAGCUGGUUUCUCUCCAAGUGACCUUUUAGCAUUUCUGCUUUUGCCGUCUGACAGAUGUGUCAACUCAAUAAUUUCAAAAGCCCCUGAGUAAAUAACCAAUUGUGAGCAAGGAUGACCCAAAGCGAUGACAAAAUGGCUGCGCGCGGCACAUUACGGAGCAUAAUACCGAGGGACGGAACCGGGAGCAUUAUCAGAAGGAAAAGCCAUUUUCGGCUUUAUCUUGGGCUAAAUGGCUUUCUUACCCACUCGUCGGUGGUUCUUGAAAGGGGAAGGAAGGGGGAACGCGGGUGGGGCGGCGGGCCCUCGCGGUGGCGCUGGCCCUGGAAGGCUGCAUUAGGCGCGCGGCCGCAGGUGGCGUCCCGCGCUGCAAAUGGGCUGAGGCGCGGCGCGGGCGGGGCGGGGCGGGGCGGGGCGGCGAGCAUCCUGACGGGCGGCCGCGCUCCCGGGGUCUGCCAAGCCGCGCGGCACGGGCUGCUCCAUCCGGGAACAGAGGCGUGCGGCCCCCGGGGGCCCAAAGCUGAGGGACGCGCGGAAGUCAGCAGUCCGCAGGAGCCUGGACUAAGCUUGUUCCUGCUUGCUCCAGGAACACUGUUGGCUUCUACUGUAUAAGAACUACAGUACAU